GACGAACGCUGGCGGCGUGCUUAACACAUGCAAGUCGAACGGAAAGGCCCCUUUGGGGGUACUCGAGUGGCGAACGGGUGAGUAACACGUGAGUAACCUGCCCUUGACUUCGGGAUAACUUCAGGAAACUGGGGCUAAUACCGGAUAGGAAUCCUUGCUGCAUGGUGGGGGUUGGAAAGCUUCGGCGGUUUUGGAUGGACUCGCGGCUUAUCAGCUUGUUGGUGGGGUAGUGGCUUACCAAGGCUUUGACGGGUAGCCGGCCUGAGAGGGCGACCGGCCACAUUGGGACUGAGAUACGACCCAGACUCCUACGGGAGGCAGCAGUGGGGAAUAUUGCACAAUGGGCGGAAGCCUGAUGCAGCAACGCCGCGUGCGGGAUGACGGCCUUCGGGUUGUAAACCGCUUUCAGCAGGGGCGAAGCUUGUGGUGACGGUACCUGCAGAAGAAGCACCGGCUAACUACGUG
rnacentral:rRNA from 1 species